rnacentral:rRNA from 1 species
AGAACGAACGCUGGCGGCAUGCCUAAUACAUGCAAGUCGAACGAACACUUCGGUGUUAGUGGCGCACGGGUGCGUAACGCGUGGGAAUCUGCCCUUGGGUUCGGAAUAACAGUUGGAAACGACUGCUAAUACCGGAUGAUAUCGAAAGAUCAAAGAUUUAUCGCCCAGGGAUGAGCCCGCGUAGGAUUAGCUAGUUGGUGAGGUAAAGGCUCACCAAGGCGACGAUCCUUAGCUGGUCUGAGAGGAUGAUCAGCCACACUGGGACUGAGACACGGCCCAGACUCCUACGGGAGGCAGCAGUAGGGAAUAGUUGGACAAUGGGCGCAAGCUGAUCCAGCAAUGCCGCGUGAGUGAUGAAGGCCGUUAGGUUGUAAAGCUACUUUUACCCGAGUAUGAAUAAUGACAAGUAUCGGAAGAAACUAAAGCCCCCGGACUAACCUCCGGACGCCCGAAGCGACGCCGGAC